rnacentral:rRNA from 1 species
UGGGGAAUAUUGGGCAAUGGGGGAAACCCUGACCCAGCAACGCCGCGUGAAGGAAGAAGGUUUUCGGAUUGUAAACUUCUGUCCCAUGGGAAGAAGGAAGUGACGGUACCAUGGGAGGAAGCCCCGGCUAACUACGUGCC